rnacentral:rRNA from 1 species
GGGACCCGCACAAGCGGUGGAUGAUGUGGUUUAAUUCGAUGCAACGCGAAAAACCUUACCCACCUUUGACAUGUACGGAAGCCUUUAGAGAUAGAGGCGUGCUCGAAAGAGAGCCGUAACACAGGUGCUGCAUGGCUGUCGUCAGCUCGUGUCGUGAGAUGUUGGGUUAAGUCCCGCAACGAGCGCAACCCUUGUCAUUAGUUGCUACAUUCAGUUGGGCACUCUAAUGAGACUGCCGGUGACAAGCCGGAGGAAGGUGGGGAUGACGUCAAGUCCUCAUGGCCCUUAUAGGUGGGGCUACACACGUCAUACAAUGGCUGGUACAAAGGGUUGCCAACCCGCGAGGGGGAGCUAAUCCCAUAAAGCCAGUCGUAGUCCGGAUCGUAGUCUGCAACUCGACUACGUGAAGUCGGAAUCGCUAGUAAUCGUGGAUCAGAAUGUCACGGUGAAUACGUUCCCGGGUCUU